rnacentral:lncRNA from 1 species
UGAAUCUCAGCAGAGACUCAGCCCGUGUAGGAGGAGGCUGAGAGAUCUCCUUCAAGGAUGACACAUGCCCACAGGGCCAGCCAGCCAUUCGGAAGCCUCCACUUUUCAGAGACAUGCGUGUCUGUGCGUGGCAAUGUGAAACGUGACUAGGGCUUAGUUAACUCUCUGAAGAGCUGGGGAAAAGGAAUUUGGCCAGCAAGUUGCUACCCAUUCAUUGUUCGCAUCCAACACCGAGGAGACAGAGGUGCUGAAAUCUGUCACAGGGGGCAAGAAGCAGGUCUGAAAUUCAAAGGAGCUGGAAUCCUCCUUCUCCCAGGAGAUUAGAUCCUUCUCAUUCUCCCCAAAGCACGACAGGGCUGAACCAGGUGCUACGGAACUCUACUAUGUUAAAAGAGUAACCAAAGCUGUCACUCAUUAAACGUGCCCAAUGGUGGCAUCUUGAGGCCAAUGCUUCCCUCUAAACCACCGAACUGUCAUAGACCCUCAGAACCAGAGUGCCAGGUUAGGUCACAAGAAGUCAUCUUGUUCUAGGCCACCCACUGGCUGUCCAUCAGAAGUCCCCCUCUCCAGAUGGCUGUCUCCUGAGGUCCUCAGCAGCUGAGUUUGGCCCACUUUGAACUAUGAUGCUGCCUACACGUCACACGUGAACAUAGGCAUUACACGGAACCAUGGGCACCGUUCUUCUCUGGAAGGGGGCCAAGGGAAAAAAGCCUAUGUCAGCUGAUUCAUCAUACUUACUAAUUGUUCNGGCGUUCCCUGGAGAUUUAGAAAGCACAGCUCUGCCAAAUCUACUGAAAAUGCUUUAUUCAAACAUGAAAAAUAGUCUUCAUUUUGCCUAUCGUUUUUUUCUGCCUGUCACAUUCUUCUGCUCUCUCAAAUCAGCUAAGGUUCUAAGCACCAAGAAGAUGAACAUUAUUUGUGGAUGGGUGCCAUUUCUCCAAGGAAAUGAUUCUGUUGUCUGCCUUUGCCAUACAUAACACACACAA